UUAAGCGACUAAGCGUACACGGUGGAUGCCCUGGCAGUCAGAGGCGAUGAAGGACGUGCUAAUCUGCGAUAAGCGUCGGUAAGGUGAUAUGAACCGUUAUAACCGGCGAUUUCCGAAUGGGGAAACCCAGUGUGUUUCGACACACUAUCAUUAACUGAAUCCAUAGGUUAAUGAGGCGAACCGGGGGAACUGAAACAUCUAAGUACCCCGAGGAAAAGAAAUCAACCGAGAUUCCCCCAGUAGCGGCGAGCGAACGGGGAGCAGCCCAGAGCCUGAAUCAGUGUGUGUGUUAGUGGAAGCGUCUGGAAAGGCGCGCGAUACAGGGUGACAGCCCCGUACACAAAAAUGCACAUGCUGUGAGCUCGAUGAGUAGGGCGGGACACGUGGUAUCCUGUCUGAAUAUGGGGGGACCAUCCUCCAAGGCUAAAUACUCCUGACUGACCGAUAGUGAACCAGUACCGUGAGGGAAAGGCGAAAAGAACCCCGGCGAGGGGAGUGAAAAAGAACCUGAAACCGUGUACGUACAAGCAGUGGGAGCACCUUCGGGUGUGACUGCGUACCUUUUGUAUAAUGGGUCAGCGACUUAUAUUCUGUAGCAAGGUUAACCGUAUAGGGGAGCCGCAGGGAAACCGAGUCUUAACUGGGCGUUAAGUUGCAGGGUAUAGACCCGAAACCCGGUGAUCUAGCCAUGGGCAGGUUGAAGGUUGGGUAACACUAACUGGAGGACCGAACCGACUAAUGUUGAAAAAUUAGCGGAUGACUUGUGGCUGGGGGUGAAAGGCCAAUCAAACCGGGAGAUAGCUGGUUCUCCCCGAAAGCUAUUUAGGUAGCGCCUCGUGAAUUCAUCUUCGGGGGUAGAGCACUGUUUCGGCUAGGGGGUCAUCCCGACUUACCAACCCGAUGCAAACUACGAAUACCGAAGAAUGUUAUCACGGGAGACACACGGCGGGUGCUAACGUCCGUCGUGAAGAGGGAAACAACCCAGACCGCCAGCUAAGGUCCCAAAGUCAUGGUUAAGUGGGAAACGAUGUGGGAAGGCCCAGACAGCCAGGAUGUUGGCUUAGAAGCAGCCAUCAUUUAAAGAAAGCGUAAUAGCUCACUGGUCGAGUCGGCCUGCGCGGAAGAUGUAACGGGGCUAAACCAUGCACCGAAGCUGCGGCAGCGACACUAUGUGUUGUUGGGUAGGGGAGCGUUCUGUAAGCCGGUGAAGGUGUGCUGUGAGGCAUGCUGGAGGUAUCAGAAGUGCGAAUGCUGACAUAAGUAACGAUAAAGCGGGUGAAAAGCCCGCUCGCCGGAAGACCAAGGGUUCCUGUCCAACGUUAAUCGGGGCAGGGUGAGUCGACCCCUAAGGCGAGGCCGAAAGGCGUAGUCGAUGGGAAACAGGUUAAUAUUCCUGUACUUGGUGUUACUGCGAAGGGGGGACGGAGAAGGCUAUGUUGGCCGGGCGACGGUUGUCCCGGUUUAAGCGUGUAGGCUGGUUUUCCAGGCAAAUCCGGAAAAUCAAGGCUGAGGCGUGAUGACGAGGCACUACGGUGCUGAAGCAACAAAUGCCCUGCUUCCAGGAAAAGCCUCUAAGCAUCAGGUAACAUCAAAUCGUACCCCAAACCGACACAGGUGGUCAGGUAGAGAAUACCAAGGCGCUUGAGAGAACUCGGGUGAAGGAACUAGGCAAAAUGGUGCCGUAACUUCGGGAGAAGGCACGCUGAUAUGUAGGUGAAGCGACUUGCUCGUGGAGCUGAAAUCAGUCGAAGAUACCAGCUGGCUGCAACUGUUUAUUAAAAACACAGCACUGUGCAAACACGAAAGUGGACGUAUACGGUGUGACGCCUGCCCGGUGCCGGAAGGUUAAUUGAUGGGGUUAGCGGCAACGCGAAGCUCUUGAUCGAAGCCCCGGUAAACGGCGGCCGUAACUAUAACGGUCCUAAGGUAGCGAAAUUCCUUGUCGGGUAAGUUCCGACCUG
rnacentral:rRNA from 1 species